UCAGGAAAAAAUAAACCUACUUUUCUUUAAUCUCCAAAAUUAAAAUUUUUAUAUAAACUAUUUCCUG
rnacentral:tRNA from 1 species